AUGCACUAUGGGCUGGUGUGCAAGAGAUUUACUUAUUACAUAUAGGUUCACCCACACCGUGUACAUGGUGACAGGCUAAAUAUUUAGCUUUGGGUGCCUACAAAGAAACAGGCUUGUUAAUGAUGAUUUGCUAUGUCAAAUUUUUAUUGAUUUGUGUGUGUGUAUAUGUGUGUAUAUAUAUAUUUAUUAUUAUUUUUUUUUUAAUUAAUGUGUAGCUCCUUCAAGCUGGUAGAUUUAAAUAUUUAAAAGAUUUACUGCUUGUUUUCAUGUGUUUAAUUGGGAGUAAAGAUUUUUUUUUUUUUAAUACUGAAAUUGUUUUCUCUUUUCAGUUCAGGCAUGUACAAUGCACCAAACCUGUUUGACAGGUUGUCUCUUGGUUUUGCAGAUGAAGUCUUCAAACUUUAUAUAAACAAAAGAUUAGAAGAACCCACAUCCCAAAAACACAGUGAACCCAGCAGAUUAACCUAAUUUCAUUGUCUUUAACUACAGACUGAUCCAGAUACAGCACAGUGUCAUUAAACCUACGAGCCAACAUCAUCAUUACAAAGCUCUCCACCUAUUUAAGUUUUACACUUUAAAGUUUAAAGGGCUUUUUACAAAUUAUAAAAGGUGUGAAAUGGAGGAAUAAAUUGGCUUUUGAUUACAACAAAAGCAUGAAUUUCUUAUCCGCUAAAUCAUUCCUAACUUGCAGUAAAGGUUAAGAAAUGUACAGUCAAUCUAAGUUACUAUGAUCAACAUGUCAAAGAGAAACAGAAAUAGCAGAUAGAAACAGUCAUUAUUGUAGUAAUGUUUAUCUGUUAAUCACGUUUCUUUCAUGGAUCUCAGUACAGUUAAAGCAACCCGCCUUUUGUUGACUUAAUGAAUAUACAAUUUCAAUUUUAUAAUUGGCAAAAGAUUUCAAUUGAAAGUUUUAUAACACUUUAUACUGCUCUAAGCUUUUAUGCCAAACAAAGUAUCUAUACCAACACUGAAACUGGGAAAAAUGCCUGAAAGUUUUUACUCAUCUAGCCAAAUGUGGAUUAUAAAGUACAGUUGUCUCAUUCCAUUUUGUCUGUGCAGAGUUGACCCAAACCAUCUAUAACAGGACCGAUCAUAAUCUAGGACCACAUUUCAGUCAUAACUAAUUUUUGUGACGCAUUUAGCCUUUCCAGGGCGGUAUAGUUAUUGUGAUCAUCAUACCACGUGUCUCCAGAGUAAUUUCAGGACUUUCCAGUAGUCUGUUGUGGGUUGUCACUGUAACACUUUCAUUUCAACACAGAACAGAUGGACACUGCAGCUAAGACCUCUACAAAUAUCAGACUAAUUAGUGUGAAAAAAACAAAAGGCUCUGAAAACAAGGAUUUAAACACAAAAACAGAACAGCAGAGGAAAAGAGUAAGACGGACAGUUAUACAGUGGAAUGUAGGAGGAAAGACAACCAUGGGAGCAGGUAAUUCACAGGUGUCUGAUCUACUCAGCGAGGAGAGAAAUGCUUCACCAAAUACAAUAAUGGAUAUCCAAGAUGGCAAGAACCCAGAUCCCAGAAAUACAUGCCCGGAGUGUUUCUCCCCACUGAAGCCUGCAGAUAUAGAAGGAUGCUCUAGUGCAUUGCUUCAAUGUACUCAAUGCUCUACCACUCCGUUCCUGUGUUCCUCCUGCCUCUACCCCUGCAUAUCUACAACUUACCCUGAUUCUCC